rnacentral:rRNA from 1 species
CUACGGGCUGCUCCAGUAAGGAAUAUUGCGCAAUGGAGGCAACUCUGACGCAGCCAUGCCGCGUGCAGGAAGAAGGCCUUAUGGGUCGUAAACUGCUUUUAUUUAGGAAUAAACCCUCGCUCGUGAGCGAGGCUGAAGGUACUGAAUGAAUAAGCACCGGCUAACUCCGUGCCAGCAACCGCGGUAAUACGGAGGGUGCAAGCGUUAUCCGGAUUUAUUGGGUUUAAAGGGUGCGCAGGCGGGCUAUUAAGUCAGUGGUGAAAUCCCGGGGCUCAACUCCGGAACUGCCAUUGAUACUGAUAGUCUUGAGUUUGGUUGAAGUGGGCGGAAUGUAGCAUGUAGCGGUGAAAUGCAUAGAUAUGCUACAGAACACCAAUCGCGAAGGCAGCUCACUAAGCCAAAACUGACGCUCAUGCACGAAAGCGUGGGGAUCAAACAGGAUUAGAUACCCUUGUAGUC